UAGCUCACAAAAUAAAUAAAGGUGCUUGGGUAUCUACAGUCUUGAUGUAUUAAGUUGAGAACCUUUGGAAGACUUGCACUACGAUUCUAACAUGAAGACGCUGGUGUUUCUACUAUUGACACUUUUUUGCCUGAUGGGAAUGGUAGUCUCUGAAAUAAAACCUGAUGCAGCUUGGUUAAAAAAGAAUGAAGAUCUUGUGAAAUGGUGCCAUCUACAACAGGGAUCCUUGUGGGACCGCGAAAAAUGUGUAUAUAAUGGUAUAACAUAAAGGCAUUCGAUAACACUUAUGUUGAAUUUAACUAAUUCCUGAAGAAUUCGAUCAUCAUUUGGUCAAAAGAUCAUUAAACAAAGAUAUAAAUGAUUUUGGUUCUAAUGAUUAAAUAAUUAGAGUGUUCUUUGGAGUGGCAUCUCGAUAUGUAUUUGCAUUCAAUCCCCUUCCAAUCAUAACGGUUCCACGGACUGCAGCCUGCAUCCGAUCCCCUGGAAGUAUCGUGCCUCCAUGCCAUCAUCAUAAUCAUCCUGGUGCGCAGACGCUCUAAUCGCUCAUUAAACGGCCACAAUUUGCCCGGACGGCGUUGCAUUUAAAUUACUUUCCCAUUGACUUGGCCAGGGGAAUUGGCUGAAAUUUGUUUAUGAGGGCCAGCGCAGACCUUUUAACUAAAACUAAAGCUCAUAACUCUGGCCAACCGACAUUCGGCUCUGUCUGCUCCGUUGGACAAUCGAGUCGCGUGAAUUUUAGCAAUCAGGCAAGGCCCGUGGAAGUUCCAAAGUCGCAGCUGAAAACUCUUGAAGCUCCAGCCAAUGUGCACCCCAGAACCCCACUGGUCCCACUUUGUUGUCGUCGCAUUCAUCAAAAAACUCUAAAGUCGUGCAGUUCGGUUUCCAAAUCUAUGCCCCACCCGCAUCCUCCAGUUCUGCAUUUUCCCCUCUCAGCCCGUUCCCUUAUUGCAAUUGGCAUGCCAUGCUUGAGUUUUCCAAGUUUUUCUUUAGAAUUUUCCAUGCUCUUUAUAGGAAGAGAGGGGCAGCCGAGCUGACCGACGUGAUAUUAGAAAUUUAGCUUGCCCCAGCCUACUGCCUCUUCCUUGUCCACCCAUGGGAAACUGCUUUCUGCCAUAUUUUGACUUUCUCUAAUCUCCCAGAAUCACCAGAACCAAAGUUUGAGCUAUUCUUCAGGCUAGAGUUUCCAUGAAUCCUCUUUGUAGCUAUCUUUAUGAUAUAUUUUGGCCAUGUCAACUGCGACGAUUAUGUGAAAACUAUAUUGUUAAUGGACUUGCAGAAUUUAGAAAUUAAAAACAAAAGACAUUUAGAUACCACAAACAGUGAUUUUCAGUCCAAUUGAUUUAUCUUUCUGAUGUUCUGCUUGGUUGCUGAUUCAAAUCGAUUGAAAUAGACAAAAAUAAGUGCACAUCACAACAAUCUUCCAGCUCCAAAUCAUUUGGCAGCUGACUCACUUUCCCACUCCCCUGGCCCAGGCACUUCAAAAGGAAUUUCAAAUAUUUAUUAACGCCCUGCUCGCGAGCUGGCUCAUAACUGUUGUAAAUUACUUGGCCAGGCUGUAAAUAUUAAUAACCAAAGGGUGAAGCGCCGGAAUCACCGAAAUAGAGGGUCGACCGAAUGAGGGGGCGACUAUUUCGAGCAGUGUUGAGGAACCAAUUAAGCGGAUUUCAAGUGCUACGAAAAUAGCGCCGCACAAUCAAAAGGUGACGAAGCGAGCUCGCCGGCAAGGAGGAAAACUCGUGGAAAACCCGGGGAAAACAUCACUCGUCUAUUACAUAAGGCAGAUGCUGAAGAGGGUGAUAGUGCCGGAUAAUGGAGGAGUGGAAUCGGGGGACUGACAUUGAAAUGUUGCGCGUGCAGCAGUGCAAACAAAUUUAAAAAUAAAAUAAGGACAGCCGUGAGGGAAAUGCUGAGGAAAGUUGCGUCUGCAGCAUAAAUUAAACUGCAUUGCAUUGCUGCAUUAAGAGAUCAAACACGAGUGAGGGCGAGGGGGAAAGGCUUUCCCAGCAGGAGGCUGCAUCUGCUCCUCGAGCAUUUAAAAUGCUGUAAAUUUUAAUUAGACGAGAUGCUCGUACUCCGAAUUUGGGGGCGCGCAAGCUGAGAAAUGUGCCAAGGGAUUCCUCUGCUAAAUAUCUGAAUAAAGAUAACGAUAAAUAAUUAGGGUAAAUUUAACAAGGAGGUGAAGAUCUUAACUUGAUUUAAAUCUUAUCAAUUAGAUAGGUUUACGGCGCAUGGAAUAAUGGCAAAAUGGAGGAACAAGUCGAACUCUUCACCCAUAUUAUAAAAUUCAGUUUUAUUAAACUGAAUAAAGGACAGCCCUGUAAUACCAAUCAUUUUAAUUAUUGACUACUAUUAACUUCCUGGUAUCAACUGCCGAAGACCUUAGAGCAGUUUCAAUGCCAAAACUCUUUGGUCUCCAUCUCCGUCGGAGUUGGCCAUAAAUAAUAAUCAUGACAAUAUUUAUCCCCGGGCAAUGUGAACUUUUCGCACAAAGAGCCGAGACUCUGGAGCCGAAAGUUGAGUGCAACUCAGCUCGAUUUGAUGCCAGGCGAUUCAAAAUGAAUCGCGGCUCUCGAGGCCUCCUUUGUUUUUUGUUUGCCGCUUUCAGCAAACUGCAGGCAAUAUUGUUGACAUUGGCUGGAUGUCUGGGAGCCAGUUAUGGCCAAGAUCUAGCUACUCCGUGCUGGUGUAGUAGGUUCCAAACGAAAAAUUGAAAUGGUAAAGUAAACAUGGGAUAUUAAAAUUCCGUUCUUACCGUAAUAAAAGGUUUAUAACGAAGCUUAUAACGCUAUACUUAUUUUUAUUGCUAAUGGGUAACAUUAUCUGCUGUUUCUGUUGUCCUACAAUCAGAGUCUUAUAUUUGGGUAUAGCUUUUUACGAGUUCCCUCCUCAUCACUGGCUCAUCUUGAGGUUCUGGGGGCCCUUCUCCGCUCUUAGCCGGCUUAUCAAAAAUUGCAUGGCAUUGCAGCAGGCUGGGAAUGCUAGGUAAGAACAUUGUUGUUCGACUGCGCCUUGGCGGCAAUAAACGAAACAAAAUGAAACUUACACUUUUCAGUGGGUCCACGGUUUACGGGGGCUGGACCCCCUUCGAAAUGUCGGCAUAGCCACAAUUCCUGACAUUCGUUGGCUGAGAUUAAUGCGCCUUUGGUUGCAGCCGCCAAGUCGGCGAGGGCAGGUCAAGGGCCCGAGGUCUGAGGCGUCUGGCCUAUACUCUAAACAAAUCAGAGUUCAAGGGCUUUGCGGAAGCCACAUGCUAAGUGAUAAAGUUCUUCCUAGAAGACUACUAUUCAAUUAAUUUAUAACAAAGUAAACAAACAAUAUUGAAGUUGAGUUGAUAUAAACGCUCUUAAAUUCCGAAGAAUUUCUUUCUUUUGCGAGACUACAAAGAACUUCAGAAUAUUAUACAAAGAUAGUAAGGUUGUCACACUAAUAAUGAUAUCUGAAAGUCCUUCAAAAACUGUGAGUUUACAAAACCAUAAAUAUUUUGUAGUAUUUCAAGGAAAGGGUAUUCCAAAGUCUUCACUCCCUAGUACAUCUUAGCUUUCUUGCUCUUUUUUUUGGGCCUUUUUGUCGACCUCAGCCGCAGUUUAAGUUCCAGUCUCGGAUUGCGCAAUAAGAGCCCUCAGAGAAGUAAAAAAAAAUAAAUAGAGAGCUGGUAAGGAAGGAGGCAAGAAAGGAGUCACACAGCAAAUUGUUAAAAAUAAUUUAUAUUAAAACGCAGCACAAAAAGACAUUGCAAUGAAAAUUGUGCAAACAAUUCGAGUCCAGAAAAAAAAGCAGGCGCAGAGAUGCCAGGCAGAUCCGGCCAUCCAGAUAAGCGAGGAGGAGCAGCCAGGCCGGGAUGGACUGGAGGGAUCCGGGAGCAAAAGCCGGAGCUGCAAACAAAUGUCCAAAUGAUAUUUUGUCAUAAUAAAUGGCACAACUAUGAUUAUUUAUGACUCGAAAUGCGAUCGUUCCCUCCACCGGCUCGCUCAAUUUAAGUCUCAUAAUCAAAGACGAGACGAGGAGCUCUGGUCAUGAUUUCGAUUUCUUGCCCGGCCAUGUAAUUUAUAGUGCCAAGAGUAUUGAAUACCGCUGGAUUUUCAGAGUUUUUUUCAUUCUGUUUCUGCCCCUUUUUGUGGCAAUCAAACCGAGACUUAGGCCACGAACUGACUGUGAUAAUGCCGUUUUUUCUUCGAUUCCCCGAUGUUGAUUUGCUGACUUUGGCUUUAGCUCUGCGGCUUCGAUUUCCUCUGUUUACGAGUAUUGCUUCCAGCGGCUGGUCGAGGGUAUUUCAGUAUUUCUGUUCUAGGUCUCAAUUGUGGCUGAUUGUUGUGAGGCAUCAUUAGAAGAACGUAAAUCAAAUAGUUUUUCUUCGUUUUAUGACUCCUUCGCUGAGAGUUGAGCCAUUUAUGGCUUGUAAUGGAGGCAACAAAUGUGAGACAGUUUCUGGCAAAGAUUAGGGUCGGAAUGUUGCAGGCCAUUUUGGAGCAGCUUUGUGCGAUGGCACUUCCAAAAGCGAUCAUAUAUAGUAUGUUGGUCUUACCUAUGGAUUUCAACGAUUUUAGCCAACAUUUUGCGAAUAAAUCCUUCCUGGAAAUCGAGGAAACCGUUUUGUUUACAUGCCAUUGCUUGACUUUAAAGGAUUCUUGUGGCCAUUGAUUGGCGUACAUAUUUCGGUAUUUUCGUGGAACUGGCAACUGUCAAUAAGUCCUUACACUGUCGGCACACAUGGCACCCGUUCCCGGUUUCACUGCCAUCACUUAACCUCCACCAUCCAUCCUCUGGCCUCGGCGUUUUCAAAUUAAACUUAAACUUUUUUCAUUUCCAUUCAGCGCACACCACAUAGAAAAACUCCCGACGAGCCCCCUGGUCCCGUAGAUUUCGCUGCGCACAUGCGUUUCAAUUCCGAUUUUUUUCCAUUUUCAUUUUCAUUUUUUCUCGUUGUAUUUCGUAUUUUUUUUAGCUGGUGGGUCUGAUUCCUGGUAUGCCGCGUGCUCAGCGUGUUGUUUGCUUAUUUGAAGUUUCCGCAGGGAGCUGAGUUUUCGGUUCAGUCGGGUUGAGUUGAGUAGAGUUGAGAGCUGAGCUGUGCGGAGGGAGUUCCAGGGGAGUUCCAGGGGGCAUUACGGAAAGUAAGGGGCGGAUAGAGCCAACGAGCGCGCAAUAUUAAAUCGUCUGUAUUGUUUACAAUCAGAAAGCGUUUUAUAGACUUUAUAUAGACGAACGAGUCAACAGAACGAGUCAAACGAGAAGCGGGGAAACAUAUCGAUUCAAGCUCCUAUUCUCCAGAAUUCAAUGGACGCGACCACCAGGGAGUCACAGUUGAGCAAUUUCUGCUUCACCAUUCAGCAGCUUUCGCCUUCGAGUCGGCAAAAGUCACGUUCUAAUCGCCGUACAUACUCGUAUCGCUCCAAUCAUUAAUCAAAAUUAAACAAUAAUUAUUUGCCAAAAAUCAGAGUCAGUGGGGCGCGGGGGUAAAUAUUUCUUCAGGUGUUUCUUUUGCUCAGGUUUUUUGUGGUGGGUGCGUCGAAGGCUACAGAAAUGGUAUUUGAGCGGUUUUAAUUGAGCUUUAAUUAUGCUUAAUUAAGCGUGGAAACACAAACUCUUUUGCCUUCUUUUUUGCAUAUCACAUCGCUUCUUUUUCAGCAGCGUGUGAACACCAUUAACAUGAUGGCCAUUGGAGGCUGGGAGCAAAAUUAAGACGUUUGAGAUGGUAAUUAGUCAGUCUGGAUAGGUUCCAAGAAAAACUUUUUGAUUGAAAAGAAAUGUGAAAAAAAAUCUAUAAAUAUCUUAGCAAAAUUAUUAUAUAUAUUUUCCAUAAGCAUCUAAAUCAUAACAUCUAAAAACCCUAAGUAUUUUUCGAAUUUCUUUUCUGCCGUCCAACUCUUAUACUUAGUUUGAACUGCGUUUAAUGACUGUUUUGAUUACCUACUGCCCAAUACAAUUGGUCUCCCAUCACGAGCUAUUUUUUACUCACAUUUAAAGUUCUGAAACUGCGUUCAGUGUGCCAUAACAGUAAUCCAUAUAGCACAUAUCAACUAUGACGGCCAACAAGAACUCGAUUUUGUUUGAUAAACAGAAAGGGAUUGCCAACACAGACCCCUGGGACGAAAAACCAGAAAGGAGAGUGGAGUGUGGGGCCAACACAAAGUAAUUGAUUGUUUAUGGUCGUACAAUUUAUGUGUGCCACAACAUCGAGGCAGAAGGAGUAGUGGAAAAUAUUGACCAUUUGCUAAACGAUAAUUCAAAAUGUUAAAUCGACAAUUUCAAUUUGAGGCGAGAAGUGUGGGGGCUGCCCCAGAGACUGCUGCACUCGGAAACUUCGCACAUGACUCCCUGGCUGUAAAUAUAAACAUAAACUCUCCACUUAAUAAAGGCGAGUGCCCUGCCACGCCCCCUGCCCCUGUCCCAUGCCCCAUGCCCCAGCAUUAACCCCAUCUGGCCCCGCUGGAAUCAAUCGAACGUGUAAUAAAAUGCAAUUUUUGCAGCGUCGUCUCCAACUCGGCCGAUAAAACUGACUGCCUGAGUUUUUUCCGCCCAAUGCUCCUCUAGCUCCAAACGCAUUUUAUCGACCUCGAGGGGUAAGGGCAUAGCCCUUUGGCACUUUAGGGUUCAAUUGCUGUGUAAAUGCUACUGCUGUUUCUUCGCCAAGCCCCCGACAGCCCCCCUUCACCUUUUUGGCUGGCCUGUAAAAAUUCAAACAGUUACAAGUUUAUCGGCCAGCAG